GAUUCCCCUAGUAACUGCGAGUGAAGCGGGAAAAGCUCAAAUUUAAAAUCUGGUAGCUUUCAGUUGCCCGAGUUGUAGUCUAGAGAAGCGUCUUCCGUGUUGGACCGUGUAUAAGUCUCUUGGAACAGAGCGUCAUAGAGGGUGAGAAUCCCGUCUUUAACAUGGACUACCAAUGCUUUGUGAUGCGCUCUCAAAGAGUCGAGUUGUUUGGGAAUGCAGCUCAAAAUGGGUGGUAAAUUCCAUCUAAAGCUAAAUAUUGGCGAGAGACCGAUAGCGAACAAGUACCGUGAGGGAAAGAUGAAAAGCACUUUGGAAAGAGAGUUAAACAGUACGUGAAAUUGCUGAAAGGGAAACGCUUGAAGUCAGUCGCGUUAGUUAGAACUCAGCCAAGCUUGCUUGGUGCAUUUUCUAGUUUAACGGGCCAGCAUCAGUUUUGGCUGCAGGAUAAAGAUUAGAGAAAUGUGGCAGCCUCGGCUGUGUUAUAGUCUCUGAUUGUAUACUGUGACCAGGACUGAGGAUCUCAGCACGCAUUUGUUGUUGCUUAGGAUGCAGGCGUAAUGGCUUUAAACG
rnacentral:rRNA from 1 species